rnacentral:rRNA from 1 species
GACGUAGGGAGCGAGCGUUGUCCGGAUUCAUUGGGCGUAAAGAGCGCGCAGGCGGCUUGGUAAGUCGGAUGUGAAAACCCGGAGCUCAACUCCGGGCGUGCAUCCGAUACUGCCCGGCUAGAGGUAGGUAGGGGAGCUCGGAAUUCCUGGUGUAGCGGUGGAAUGCGCAGAUAUCAGGAGGAACACCGGUGGCGAAGGCGGAUCUCUGGGCCUUACCUGACGCUCAGGCGCGAAAGCUAGGGGAGCGAACAGG